UAAUACAGAGGGUGCGAGCGUUGUCCGGAAUUACUGGGCGUAAAGGGCGCGUAGGCGGCCUGAUAAGUAUGGGGUGAAAUCUCACGGCUCAACCGUGAGGCUGCCUUGUAGACUGUCAGGCUUGAGCACGGUAGAGGCAGAUGGAAUUCCCGGUGUAGCGGUGGAAUGCGUAGAGAUCGGGAAGAACACCAGUGGCGAAGGCGGUCUGCUGGGCCGUAGCUGACGCUGAGGCGCGACAGCGUGGGGAGCAAACAGGAUUAGAUACCCUGGUAGUCCACGCCGUAAACGAUGGGCACUAGGCGUCGGGGGGAGCGACCCUCCCGGUGCCGUCGCUAACGCUGUAAGUGCCCCGCCUGGGGAGUACGGCCGCAAGGCUG
rnacentral:rRNA from 1 species